rnacentral:rRNA from 1 species
AUACGGAGGGUGCAAGCGUUAUCCGGAAUCAUUGGGUUUAAAGGGUCCGUAGGCGGACUAUUAAGUCAGAGGUGAAAUCCCACAGCUCAACUGUGGAACUGCCUUUGAUACUGGUAGUCUUGAGUUAUAUGGAAGUAGAUAGAAUGUGUAGUGUAGCGGUGAAAUGCAUAGAUAUUACACAGAGUACCGAUUGCGAAGGCAGUCUACUACGUAUAUACUGACGCUAAGGGACGAAAGCGUGGGGAGCGAACAGGAUUAGAAACCCCGGUAGUCC